rnacentral:lncRNA from 1 species
AGGCGGAGCCUGAAAGGCAGCAGCGGGGAGGUUGCGGGAUGGAGUGUGGUUGCCCCGGGGAAUGGGUGUCUUAGGCGCGGCCGGCCGGGGGCCUCUCGGGGAGGCUACCCCGGGACUCCUCCUGGCCGGCCUCGAGCUCCGAAGCGCCCUUUGUUCCCGGGCCCUGUCCCAGCACCGCGCGCCUCUGAUCUCUGGCUUGCGGUUGCCUGGUUUGAGGUUUUGGCCCCAGGCCGCCCAGAGAUUAGCUUGGUUUGGAAGACAGAAAAGAACAGUCAAGACGAAAUCUUUCAUUCCCUCCAGCGGUCGGCGAGCUCUCGCGGACGUUCAGGUGCUUCGAAGUUUGCAUUAGCUCGUCGUGUGGGCCCUGGAAAGGGCUGGAUGCGUGCGUGCGGCGUUCUCGCCUUGGUGUUUGCUGACAGCCCCGCCGCGGCCAGGUGGGCAAGGUUAGCCCGGUAAUAACAGCGCUCGGCCAGACAUCACACCCAGGCCCCAUAGUAAUCAUACCUUUCUCGUGAGCGCGGACUGCAAUUGGGCUUGUAAAGAGUUUAGCGCUCUGUUGUCUGAUUCAAAACUGUGAAGCAGAUGGGAGAAUUAUUCCCGUUUUACAGAUUGCAAAAGACGACUGUCGGUAACUGUCGGAGGAGAGGAAUGGCAACGUAAACUGGCAGAGUCUGCUUGGGUUUUGGGAUUUCGAAGUGUAUUCCCAGCAUUUCCCCCUUUCCUUUAGUAAGGGAGGAGAGACCUCUGAUCCUUUUGGUUUAAAUAAACACGCUUGCACUUCUAGA